AGCGAACGCUGGCGGCAGGCCUAACACAUGCAAGUCGAACGAACUCUUCGGAGUUAGUGGCGGACGGGUGAGUAACACGUGGGAACGUGCCUUUAGGUUCGGAAUAACUCAGGGAAACUUGUGCUAAUACCGAAUGUGCCCUUCGGGGAAAGAUUUAUCGCCUUUAGAGCGGCCCGCGUCUGAUUAGCUAGUUGGUGAGGUAAAGGCUCACCAAGGCGACGAUCAGUAGCUGGUCUGAGAGGAUGAUCAGCCACAUUGGGACUGAGACACGGCCCAAACUCCUACGGGAGGCAGCAGUGGGGAAUCUUGCGCAAUGGGCGAAAGCCUGACGCAGCCAUGCCGCGUGAAUGAUGAAGGUCUUAGGAUUGUAAAAUUCUUUCACCGGGGACGAUAAUGACGGUACCCGGAGAAGAAGCCCCGGCUAACUUCGUGCCAGCAGCCGCGGU
rnacentral:rRNA from 1 species